rnacentral:tRNA from 1 species
UCUCUGGUGGCUCAGAGGAUAAAGCGUCUGCCUGCAAAGCAGGAAACCCGGGUUCAAUCCCUGAGUUGGGAA